rnacentral:rRNA from 1 species
AGAGUUUGAUCAUGGCUCAGAUUGAACGCUGGCGGCAGGCUUAACACAUGCAAGUCGAGCGGAGAUGAGGUGCUUGCACCUUAUCUUAGCGGCGGACGGGUGAGUAAUGCUUAGGAAUCUGCCUAUUAGUGGGGGACAACAUUCCGAAAGGGAUGCUAAUACCGCAUACGUCCUACGGGAGAAAGCAGGGGAUCUUCGGACCUUGCGCUAAUAGAUGAGCCUAAGUCGGAUUAGCUAGUUGGUGGGGUAAAGGCCUACCAAGGCGACGAUCUGUAGCGGGUCUGAGAGGAUGAUCCGCCACACUGGGACUGAGACACGGCCCAGACUCCUACGGGAGGCAGCAGUGGGGAAUAUUGGACAAUGGGGGGAACCCUGAUCCAGCCAUGCCGCGUGUGUGAAGAAGGCCUUAUGGUUGUAAAGCACUUUAAGCGAGGAGGAGGCUACUGAGACUAAUACUCUUGGAUAGUGGACGUUACUCGCAGAAUAAGCACCGGCUAACUCUGUGCCAGCAGCCGCGGUAAUACAGAGGGUGCGAGCGUUAAUCGGAUUUACUGGGCGUAAAGCGUGCGUAGGCGGCUUUUUAAGUCGGAUGUGAAAUCCCCGAGCUUAACUUGGGAAUUGCAUUCGAUACUGGGAAGCUAGAGUAUGGGAGAGGAUGGUAGAAUUCCAGGUGCAGCGGUGAAGUGCGUAGAGAUCUGGAGGAAUACCGAUGGCGAAGGCAGCCAUCUGGCCUAAUACUGACGCUGAGGUACGAAAGCAUGGGGAGCAAACAGGAUUAGAUACCCCGGUAGUCCAA